ACAGAUAAGGUAACGCAAAAUCUCUGCAGAAGUCUGGGGCAGGGAAGGAACAUGGGCCAGGUUUUCCCUGGUAGGGACUUUCUGCUCUCAUCUCCAAAACAACCUAGAAAACAUUAGGUACAGAAAGGUAAAAAAAGCUGUGUGAGUUUAAGGUGAAUUAUGUGCACUAACUUCUUCACUUUUUUUUUUUUUUCUUUUUGGAGAAGAUAUCUAAUUUUUGAGACAAUCAGUGAGAUAUAAUCCUUCUAGCCUUCUGAAUCAAUGGAAGCAUCUGAUUCCAGAAUACAGACAUCAUUUUUUUCUUCAGAAUGAAAAGAUGAAGCUGGAACAAGAGCUCUAGAGUGAAGAAGAAUUGUGUGUACUGUGCCAGGGAGAUUAUGGCAACACCACAGGCAUGAAAAUAUAAAAGCCACCGUGACUUGAAAAAUAUUUCAAUGAGGAGUUACCAAGACCGGAAUUUCUUGUAAAAACAGUCAAUUUCUACAAAUGGACAUUUCCAAGAAUAAAUACUUUGUUGAAGUAUUCUUGACCAGCUUUACUAAGAUUCUGAGAUGCUAUACUGGUAACUCCUUCUCAUCUCUGCUACAAGUAAGGUUGGACCUCACUUUCUUCACAUAAAAAAAAGGGCAAUUGAACAAGAGUAUGAUGAGAUGUAUUAAACCAUGUAUUAUCUGAAUAUAGCAUGUAGGGUAAAUUCAUCAUUAUAUCUCAGAAAGCCAGAACUAGAAAGCAACCAAUGGCAGACCAAGGUUUGCAUGAAGAGAAACUGCAUCUUUGAUCAAAACAACAUGAAUAGUUGGUAAAAUUGUCAUGUUUAUAUCUAUGGUCUAUCUAUUAUAAAGAUAAUGUACAACUACAUAUAACAGUGAAAUUAGCUGGCAACUAAUUAAAAACAAGCAAGCAAAAAAACCCUUGAAAAUAAAAG
ensembl:lncRNA